GCCUACCACAGCCAACACCUGUGUGUGCUUAAGUCCGUUCCUUCUGGAUGUCCUUUCAGGCAUCUUGUUACCUGCAGUCAACAGCGGUUUGGAAACGAGGGGUCCCCCUUCUGACGGAUAAUCAGAAAGUCACAAGUAGCCUAACACUACGUCGAAAUGCCCACGUUGCUCCCUCACUUCAUCUCCUCACACAGGCAUUUUAUCAUCUCACAUCGUCACAAGAAAGGUCUACACCAUCCAAUAUGGCAGCCACGACUCAUGUGUGCUAGUCCCAGUUGAGCAAGUAUCACGAGCACAUC